UGAGCCCGCGUUCCAUUAGCUUGUUGGUGGGGUAACGGCCCACCAAGGCGACGAUGGGUAGCUGGUCUGAGAGGAUGAUCAGCCACACUGGAACUGAGACACGGUCCAGACUCCUACGGGAGGCAGCAGUGGGGAAUUUUGCGCAAUGGGCGGAAGCCUGACGCAGCGACGCCGCGUGAGGGAUGACGGCCUUCGGGUUGUAAACCUCUUUCAGCCCUGACGAAGCAGUGAUGUGACGGUAGGGGUAGAAGAAGCACCGGCCAACUACGUGCCAGCAGCCGCGGUAAUAAGGG
rnacentral:rRNA from 1 species